GUGAACCUUUACUAUAGCUUGACACUGAACAUUGAGCCUUGAUGUGUAGGAUAGGUGGGAGGCUUGGAAGUGUGGACGCCAGUCUGCAUGGAGCCGACCUUGAAAUACCACCCUUUAAUGUUUGAUGUUCUAACGUUGACCCGUAAUCCGGGUUGCGGACAGUGUCUGGUGGGUAGUUUGACUGGGGCGGUCUCCUCCUAAAGAGUAACGGAGGAGCACGAAGGUUGGCUAAUCCUGGUCGGACAUCAGGAGGUUAGUGCAAUGGCAUAAGCCAGCUUGACUGCGAGCGUGACGGCGCGAGCAGGUGCGAAAGCAGGUCAUAGUGAUCCGGUGGUUCUGAAUGGAAGGGCCAUCGCUCAACGGAUAAAAGGUACUCCGGGGAUAACAGGCUGAUACCGCCCAAGAGUUCAUAUCGACGGCGGUGUUUGGCACCUCGAUGUCGGCUCAUCACAUCCUGGGGCUGAAGUAGGUCCCAAGGGUAUGGCUGUUCGCCAUUUAAAGUGGUACGCGAGCUGGGUUUAGAACGUCGUGAGACAGUUCGGUCCCUAUCUGCCGUGGGCGCUGGAGAACUGAGGGGGGCUGCUCCUAGUACGAGAGGACCGGAGUGGACGCAUCACUGGUGUUCGGGUUGUCAUGCCAAUGGCACUGCCCGGUAGCUAAAUGCGGAAGAGAUAAGUGCUGAAAGCAUCUAAGCACGAAACUUGCC
rnacentral:rRNA from 1 species